UUAGACGUUUGAAAUUUGGCAUGCAGGUACCAUAGGUACCGUAGAGGUGCACUAAGAAAGGAAUUCCCAAAAUUCUCACGGGAACGGGAAUUAGCGGGAAAUACCUUUUGUAUGAAAAAUCUAAACCACUCAAGUUAGACAUUUGAAAUUUAGCAUGCAGAUACCUUAGGUACCGUGGAGGUGCACUAAGAAAGGAAUUCCCGAAAUUCUCACGAGAACGGGAAUUAGCGGGAAAAUCCUUUUGUAUGAAAAAUCUAAACCAUUCAAGUUAGACGUUUGAAAUUUGUCAUGCAGGUACCUUAGGUAUCGUGGAGGUGCACUAAGAAAGGAAUUCCCGAAAUUCCCACGGGAACGGGAAUUAACGGGAAAAU